ACUACAUAAUUUAAAUAGUCUUCUUCUUUUAUCAACCCAUUUUCUCUCACUGUUUUACCACCCAUUUGUCUACUGCAAUUAUCUUCUCCGUCUCAAAUUUCUCUCAACAUCUCAUACUCAUCUUUCUCUUCCCCUAAACAACCAUCGAAACUUAUUUCUCCCUUUGGCGUGCCAUUAUCUCCUUUGCAUUUCUUGGGUUCGCCAUCAUCACGUUGUUGUCGAUCGGUCGAUUGGCAUUUCAACACCACCGUUUGGGUCCCUACCAGCAUUACACCUUGUUGUUGACCAAGCUAGCCAUUGGUUUGAAAACUCGAAUGCCGUCCCAAACGUAACCAAUCUUCUUGGUCCAUUUCAAUGCUAGUUUGGAUAUGAUGUGGUAAGACCAGGUAAGGCCUAAUAAGCUCCUGGCUCACUAUUUAUGAUAAAUGAAGUCCUGAGGAGCAUGUUUAUGAGCCGGACACAUUGGUUAUGUUAUGUAUUAAGAGGAAGUCCUGAGGAACAUCUUUAUGAGUCGAGCAAAGUGGUUACGAAAAAUCAUUGGUGACAAGUCUAUCUUAUGUGAAUUGUUUGUGUUGUAUAAACUCAUGUGAUUGAUGCAUUGCAUAUGUAUGAAUUGAAUUAUAUGAAAAAUGAAUAUUUGCUAGUUUGCUUACUAAGCUUCCCAAAGCUUACCCCUUGCCCUUAAACCUAGGCGCGGAAUAGUAGGAAUAAAAGAAUUUGUGGAGAAGAUUUUGCAGUGGUUUAGCACUAUUAAAGUAUGUUAUAAAGUUUUCUUGGACAUGUAAAAUAACACUUUAGUAUUGUGCUUUGGCUGUAGAUUGUUGCGAGUUAUGUAAUGUAAAAGGUAUGUAUGAACUUUA